AAGUGCUCUAUCAGUGUGUGAGCUACAGCUACCAUCCUGUAGAGGAUGGUUUCACUGAAGGAGACUGGCUGGAAGGGCAUUAAUGUUCUGAUGCAGUUACUCUGGUGAUAGAAGUGAGAGUCUGGAUAAAGAUGAGCCAGUCUUCAGUGCUGUGUAUCUCAUUGAACACUAAAUUCACUGGCUGCUGACAUCCGAUGGUGCCCCUCUUCAAGUCCUCACUCCUUCCUCCAGAGUAGGCAACUGGAU
rnacentral:lncRNA from 1 species